UUGGCCCUGAAUCAAGACCAUCGGUUUGCUGUAGCCGUUGGUUUCAAGCAGGAGCCCAGAGGAAUGCCUUCCCAUGGUCUGUUGGCUGUUCCAGAGCCUCAGAAGGGAACAGCCAAUUCAGUUGGAAGCAACAAGC
ensembl:snoRNA